CAAUGCCCCUCCGUGGUUCCUGCCCUGACUUUCCUAACAGAUUAACUGUGAUCAUGAUUUGGCUUCAAAACUUCUGCAGGUGUUUGUUCCAGAUGUGGACUCUUGCCCCAGCAUUUGACCAUCCAUCAGCCAGCUAUUUCACACAGAUAAGAUUCUAAUCUUUUACACUGGAUAGCCACUGAGUGUCUGGAGCUGACCAGGAACAGGCCAAGAGCAUGGCUCUCCUCAAACACACACAUUUAAACACAUCCAAUCUGAAUGGGGAUGAAGUUGGCCUGUGGACGUUUACUUUACAGUAGAUCUAAGUUGCACUAUGGUGAAUGCAGCGAACAGACUUCCGGUUGACCUGGAGGCGAGCUGCAGGCUGUUGCGGGAGGUAGCUUUUCUGGCACGUCAGGUGGGUCAACCCAAAGAGACGCAGCUCUCCAGACUGCUGAACCUGUGCCACAGUGCUCCACAUCCAAAUACCAUCGGAGAGAGCUGGUGUCCCAGGAGUGUUGACACACAGGCUUACAGGAGGGCAAGCCACAGCCAGAGACAGCAAGACCAGCUAACACUAGAGGUAACCAGAUGGUGAGAGGCAAGGGGAAGAAUGUAAGCAAAGAUUUGAAGACAGGCUCUAUAUUAGAUCAUAAUGUUAAUGUGGGUUUCUUGGCUGCAAUAAUUUUGUUAUGGGGCUGCAAAGGAGAGAACGUUGUUCUUUGGAUUUUGGUGCCAAAUGCUGUGGGGUGGCAUGUCACUGUGUGCAUUGGUGAGGACAUGGAGUGAGAGAGAAAAGAAGGGACAGACUGACAUUAAGCGAAGUGUGGAUAAUCUAGGCAGGGUAUAUAGUUAUUCUUGCAUUGUUCCUUCACCUUUGAACACUUUAGAGUUUGAGGAGGGGAAAAAAUCCCAGCACUACGGAUUAUUGCAGCCUAACUAAAGGAUGACAAGUGGCCGUAUCCAUGAGCAAUGCUAAGCAAGGUGGAAGCUCUCCCUUCACCUCCACGCAGACGUGUUUACUGUCAUUUCCACCAUCUCGGGUCUUUGCAGGCACUGACAAACAGAGUUUAGCUAAUUCUCUGAAUUCUGGCUUCUGAGAAAGCAAAUCUAGUCUCUGUAACUCGGAUUUAAGUUCAAGCUGACUCUUGGGUUAGUCACCAGUAACCAAGGGGCUAAGAAUGUUUUAGCCACACAGACACACUGUGGACCCAGUUUCUAGAAAGGGAAGGGUUGACCAUCUGCUGGCUGGGUCCCUUCAAAGGGUCUACUGCAGAGGGUGACUUUUGACCUAUGUUGACACGAGUUAGUAGGAAAAGCCCGUGUGGUUGCCGCUCAUCUGGGGACAUCCUCCACUGAGACUUUGUUCUCCAAAGGGGAGCUCCCCACCCAGAUAUAUACACGCCUAUCAGUAAAUGCACCAUCUAUUUACUAUUUUAUAUUAUAAAACAUGCAUACUGGUAUGACUUAAUAUGUAUGAAAUAACACUAAGUCAGGGUUCGCAGAGUCCCUUGUCUGACUCUAAUGUUUUUAUGAACCUUAUCUUGCAAUGCUUCAGAAAUUUCUAUUUAUCUCAGGAACUUGUUUGUGCCCAUUCACACAUUUAUUGACACCUACAGGAGCUUUUAAUUUGGUUUCAUAAAGCAAAAUGAAA
ensembl:lincRNA D030018L15Rik RIKEN cDNA D030018L15 gene